UCGACCUCAAAUCAGGUAGGACUACCCGCUGAACUUAAGCAUAUCAAUAAGCGGAGGAAAAGAAACCAACAGGGAUUGCCUUAGUAGCGGCGAGUGAAGCGGCAAAAGCUCAAAUUUGAAAUCUGGCACUUUCAGUGUCCGAGUUGUAAUUUGAAGAAGGUAUCUUUGGGUCUGGCUCUUGUCUAUGUUUCUUGGAACAGAACGUCACAGAGGGUGAGAAUCCCGUGCGAUGAGAUGUCCCCGACCUA
rnacentral:rRNA from 1 species